rnacentral:SRP_RNA from 1 species
GGGAGGUUGGCGGGGGACGUCUCACUCGCCAACCCGGUCAGGUCCGGAAGGAAGCAGCCGUAACGAGACCGAACGGGUCUUCGUCCAACCUCCUACU